GACGGAGGGGGCUAGCGUUGUUCGGAAUUACUGGGCGUAAAGAGUGCGUAGGCGGUUUAGUAAGUUGGAAGUGAAAGCCCGAGGCUUAACCUCGGAACUGCUUUCAAAACUACUAAUCUAGAGUGUAGUAGGGGAUGAUGGAAUUCCUAGUGUAGAGGUGAAAUUCUUAGAUAUUAGGAGGAACACCGGUGGCGAAGGCGGUCAUCUAGGCUACAACUGACGCUGAUGCACGAAAGCGUGGGGAGCAAACAGG
rnacentral:rRNA from 1 species